GAUGAACGCUGGCGGCGUGCUUAACACAUGCAAGUCGAACGGAAAGGCCCAAGCUUGCUUGGGUACUCGAGUGGCGAACGGGUGAGUAACACGUGGGUGAGCUGCCCUGCACUUCGGGAUAAGCCUGGGAAACUGGGUCUAAUACCGGAUAGGACCACAUUUUGGAUGUUGUGGUGGAAAGUUUUUCGGUGUGGGAUGAGCUCGCGGCCUAUCAGCUUGUUGGUGGGGUAAUGGCCUACCAAGGCGUCGACGGGUAGCCGGCCUGAGAUGGUGUACGGCCACAUUGGGACUGAGAUACGGCCCAGACUCCUACGGGGGGCAGCAGUGGGGAAUAUUGCACAAUGGGCGCAAGCCUGAUGCAGAGACGCCGCGUGGGGGAUGACGGCCUUCGGGUUGUAAACUCCUUUCGCUAGGGACGAAGCGUUUUUGUGACGGUACCUGGAGAAGAAGCACCGGCUAACUACGUG
rnacentral:rRNA from 1 species